UACAGAGACUGCAAGCGUUAUUCGGAUUCACUGGGCGUAAAGGGUGCGCAGGCGGCCAAGUGUGUGAGGCGUGAAAGCCCGGGGCUUAACCCCGGAAUUGCACCUCAAACUACAUGGCUAGAGCAUUGGAGAGAGUAGCAGAAUUCAUGGUGUAGCAGUGAAAUGCGUAGAUAUCAUGAGGAAUACCAGAGGCGAAGGCGGCUACCUGGACAAUUGCUGACGCUCAGGCACGAAAGCGUGGGGAGCAAAAGGG
rnacentral:rRNA from 1 species